GGCUCAUACUGGCCCAGUCCCGAGCACAGUUGUGCGAACACAGGGAUAUGGUGCUCAGUCACCUCAGCCGAUUGGGGCUUCGGGUCAACUGGGAAAAGAGCAAACUCUCUCCGGUGCAGAGGAUCUCUUUUCUCGGCAUGGAGCUGGACUCGGUCAACCUCUCAGCACGUCUCUCAGUAGAGCGCGCGCAGUCGAUGCUGAACUGCCUGGGGUCCUUCCAGUGCAAGACGGCGGUUCCACUGAAACAAUUUCAGAGGCUCCUGGGGCAUAUGGCAUCCGCAGCCGCUGUCACGCCGCUCGGGUUGCUUCAUAUGAGACCGCUUCAGCGUUGGCUUCACGACCGGGUCCCGAGAUGGGCAUGGCGACACGGCACUUACCGGGUUUCUGUUACCCCGUUCUGCCGUCAGACCCUCAGCCCAUGGACAGAUCUUGCCUUUCUUCGGACAGGAGUAUCCCUUGGGCAAGUAUCCAGGCAUGUUGUUGUGUCAACAGAUGCCUCCGCCAGGGGCUGGGGUGCCAUGUGCAGUGGGAAUGCAGCUGCGGGGCUCUGGUCGGGGCCCCGACUACAGUGGCAUAUCAACUGCCUCGAGUUGCAAGCAGUAUGGCUGGCUCUGCGCCGCUUCAGAUCGCUGCUACACGACAAGCACGUACUGGUCCGUACGGACAACACUGCGACCGUUGCGUACAUCAACCACCAGGGCGGUCUACGCUCCCGUCGCAUGUCGCAACUCGCCCGCCAUCUCCUCCUCUGGAGUCAGAAGCAUCUGAGGUCGCUUCGCGCCGUUCACAUCCCAGGCGAGCUCAAUCGUGCAGCCGACGAGCUCUCACGUCAGCCCGCCCCUCCGGGAGAAUGGCGACUCCACCCCGAGACAGUCCAGCUGAUUUGGAGACGCUUUGGGGACGCUCAGGUAGACCUGUUUGCCUCCCCGGACACGUCCCAUUGCCAGUGGUUUUACUCCCUGGCCGAGGGACCCCUCGGCACGGACGCACUGGCGUGCAGCUGGCCUCGGGGCCUACGCAAAUAUGCGUUUCCCCCAGUGAGCCUUCUCGCACAGACACUGUGCAAGGUCAGGGAGGACGAGGAGCAGGUCCUCUUGGUGGCGCCAUACUGGCCCAGUCGGACUUGGUUCCCCGAACUGAUGCUCCUCGCGACAGCCCCUCCUUGGCGAAUUCCUCUGAGGAGGGAUCUCCUUUCUCAGAGAGGGGGCACCCUCUGGCACCCGCGUCCAGACUUGUGGAAUCUCCACUUAUGGUCCCUGGACGGGACGCGGAGGUUCUAGGUGGGCUACCUCCAGCGGUAGUAAACACCAUCGCUUCAGCUAGAGCCCCGUCUACCAGACACGCUUACAGCCUGAAGUGGAACCUGUUCGUCGGUUGGUGCUCUUCCCGCCUGGAAGACCCCCGUAGAUGCCCGAUCGCAGUCGUGCUUUCUUUCCUGCAGGAGGGCUUGGAGCGAAGGCUGCCUCCC
ensembl:lncRNA